GAUGAAGAACGUAGCGAAAUGCGAUACGUAAUGUGAAUUGCAGAAUUCAGUGAAUCAUCGAAUCUUUGAACGCAUAUUGCGCUCUUUGGUACUCCGAAGAGCAUGCUUGUUUGAGUAUCAGUAAACACCUCAACCUCUUCUUGAUUUUUCAAAAGGAGGGUGGACUUGAGCUAUCCCAACAACCUUUACCGGUCGGCGGGCGGCUUGAAAUGCAGGUGCAGCUGGACUUUUAUCUGAGCUAAAAGCAUAUCUAUUUAGUCCUCGUCAAACAGGAUUAUUACUUUUGCUGCAGCUAACAUAAAGGAUAAUUGUCCUCUUUGCUGACUGAUGCAGGAUUUUACGACACUUUAUGUGUUGUUCAACUCGAUCUCAAAUCAAGUAAGACUACCCGCUGAACUUAAGCAUAUCAAUAAGCGGAGGA
rnacentral:misc_RNA from 1 species